AUUGAACGCUGGCGGCAGGCCUAACACAUGCAAGUCGAACGAGUGGCGGACGGGUGAGUAAUGUCUGGGAAACUGCCUGAUGGAGGGGGAUAACUACUGGAAACGGUAGCUAAUACCGCAUACCGUCGGAGGUGCACAGAUGGGAUUAGCUAGUGGGUGGGUUAAAGGCUCACCUAGGGGACGAUCCCUAGCUGGUCUGAGCGGAUGACCAACCACACUGGAACUGAGAGAAGGUCCAGACUCCGACGGGAGGCAGCAGUGGGGAAUAUUGCACAAUGGGCGCAAGCCUGAUGCAGCCAUGCCGCGUGGAUGAAGAAGGCCUUCGGGUUGUAAAGUACUUUCAGCGUGGAGGCGUUACCCGCCGAAGAAGCACCGGCUAACUCCGUGCCAGCAGCCGCGGUAAUUC
rnacentral:rRNA from 1 species